AAACAGCCCUCUAUGUUUUGAUUCUUUGGCAGUUUUGGACCCCCAAGGCAAAAAAAUAAAAAAAAAUUGACACGUGGCACCUCACUUAGGGUGUCUCGUCAGCGUUGACCGAGUCAUCAAUGGACUGGGGGUCCAAAACUGUCAAAGAAUCAAAACAUAGGGGGCUGUUU
rnacentral:pre_miRNA from 1 species